rnacentral:rRNA from 1 species
CCUACGGGUGGCAGCAGUGAGGAAUAUUGGUCAAUGGGCUAAGGCCUGAACCAGCCAAGUCGCGUGAGGGAAGACGGUCCUAUGUAUUGUAAACCUCUUUUGUCGGGGAGCAACGAGGCCACGUGUACCCGAAGUGAGCGUACCCGAAGAAAAAGCAUCGGCUAGCUCCGUGCCAGCAGCCGCGGGAAUACGGAGGAUGCGAGCGUUAUCCGGAUUUAUUGGGGUUAAAGGUGGCGUAGGCGGAACAUUAAGUCAGCGGUAAGAUCGAGGGGCUCAACCCCUUUAAGCCGUUGAAGCUGGUGUGCUUGAGUGGGAGAGAAGUACGCGGAAUGCGUGGUGUAGCGGUGAAAUGCAUAGAUAUCACGCAGAACUCCGAUUGCGAAGGCAGCAUACCGGCGCCAGACUGACGCUGAGGCACGAAAGCGUGGGGAUCGAACAGGAUUAGAUACCCGUGUAGUC